rnacentral:lncRNA from 1 species
CUACAUAAAAGAACUUAUGAAUAAAAGCGAGUGUAGUAUGCAAAAAAUGUAUGCUUAGAAACGCUCAUGUAGUAUAUGCACUUACAAAAAUAUUAUCGUCAAAACAAACUAAUCAACAACAAUUAUCGCUAGUGGCAAUCUCUAGACCUUUCUGUCACAUAUAUAUUGACACAAACAUCCAUCAAUUGGUAUUCUUAUCAGGGACUUGAGAGAUUUAACUGCAUUGAGCUACAUAUAUAAUGCGUCUCUUAGCACUAUCAUUGCGCUGAUACCCAAACAGGAACCAGGAAUUCCCAAGAGACGAGAAAUAACUAUGACGUAUUGAGCCCUUGUUGUUGUAGCAGCAUUGCAAAGACAUUAAAUAUUCCAAUAUGUGCGUGGCCCGCGAUGUUAUCCACUUGAACAUAAAGGAAAACUGCAGUUUGAAUAUAUUUAUACACUACUGAUGUACAAAGUAAAUCGGUCAUAUGCAAAGCUUAUUUUAAGUGUAAGCCGAGGUAACCUAAAGUUUAAUGUGAAAAAGAAACUCAUUGAAAAUGUGCAUAUAUUACAUUUCAGAAAAAAAAACAAUUUUCUGCUCA